UACGUAGGGGGCAAGCGUUGUCCGGAAUCAUUGGGCGUAAAGAGCGUGUAGGCGGCCUGGUAAGUCCGCUGUGAAAGUCCAGGGCUCAACCCUGGAAUGCCAGUGGAAACUGUCAAGCUAGAGUCCGGAAGAGGCGAGUGGAAUUCCUGGUGUAGCGGUGAAAUGCGCAGAUAUCAGGAGGAACACCAAUGGCGAAGGCAGCUCGCUGGGACGGUACUGACGCUGAGACGCGAAAGCGUGGGGAGCAAACAGG
rnacentral:rRNA from 1 species